GAAAAAAGCCUGAUAUGAAAAACUGAAGCAGAAAAAAAUCCACAUAUAGUCCACUGAAAAAACUCUCAUGGACUUCUGGAGAUUUUAUUAGAAGAAACACUUUAAUAGUUCCCUCAGGUAACUGAUAGUCAUUGUUCAACAUAAACAAGUGAUGAGCUUUGGAUGCUACAAGCUGUAGUGAAGUGCUGGACGUGAUAAACCAAUUUCUGUUUCUUUUGAUGCAAAUCUUCUGUUUUUCUAUGUGAAUUCCCCCUUACCUCAGCAUGCUGCUGACAGCAGGAUAUGGACAAGACAAACAGAUUCUUCUGAAAGGACUCUGCUGAGCAGUAGCUGCUUGUUUGCCAUAUCUUGGCUGAAGUCCUCUGAAUCAAGAACUAUCAUCUGAGG
rnacentral:lncRNA from 1 species